AUAUAUGUACCUAUAUAUAUUUUUUUAAAUAAAAAAUUAAAAUAAAUGCACUAUAUAUAUAUAUGGUGGUACAAUAAGCAGAUGGGAAAGAGACUUUAAUUCUCUUUCCCUAAGAUCCUUUAUCCAGCUGGGACUUGUAUCAAACCACAGUUCCAGUCUGUCCUUUGCUCCAUGUGAGUUUAUCCAACUCAUGAACAUUACAUGACUUUGUUCUUCAAAGUUCUGUAAACCUAGCCCUUACUGUUUAAAAUUUAAUGUUGCAAAGGUAAAAUUUAUGCUUAUAAACCAGCCAAUCCAUUUCCAAACUUCUUUUUCUUUCAAUGAUUUAAGUGUAGUUAAUGUCCACACCCACAUAUCUAUGCUUCUAUUUUAUUCAUUUACAUUUCUUAGUUUUUUAGGAUUCCUCCCAAGUGACUACCGAUCUAGUAUUACUAAAUGUCUUCUGACCUUGUAACACUGAUGACCAUCUUUCUAAUUUCUAAUACAUGAGCCUUCUGUAUUUGCUGUGAUCUCUCAACUAAUGCCACAUGUUUUCAUUUUGUUUUAUGUUUUCCGUAUUAGUCAGGAUAGGACAGACUGUAUUGCAAUAACAAAUAUACUUUGACAUUUCACUGGAUUAAUGUAAUAAAAGUUAAUUUCUAGUUCAUGUCAAGCCCGAUACGGAUGCAGGGUCUCUGUGUUUUCCUCAACACAUCCUCCCUAAGCAAUUACUCAGACAACAAGCUGCUUCCAAUUUACAGUUUUGUGAUCUGAGCCAAGAGGCAGUGAGGGAUGAGAAAAGAGAAUUAGAGCACCCCAUCAGUUAUUGUUAAAGGCUGUAUAAUGGCAGUGUCUGACACCAUCUUUAACAUCUCCAUAUCCACUGGUUAGAAGUUCGCCAUACAGCACCAACAUGUACUCAAGGAGCCUGAGCUUCAGAGAUCAUCAUAGGGGAAGUACCUAGUGCUUUAUGUCAUGAUACAUAUGAAAAGUCUUAAUCUUUUAUAAGGCACUUCAUCAUUUUAUACUUAAUAUUCAGAUUGUUAUAAGAGGCUGGACAGUAAUUCUGGUAGCUCAGGCACUCACAUUCACAUGUUAGGAGAUCAGCAUUAGGGGCUCAAUUACAACUUGAUUUGGGAGAUUUUGGGCCUGUCAAUUUCAGGAUAGUGAACACCUUGAAAGAAGGAGUAAAGAGGAAAAUACUACAAAGAAUGGAAUAGGAGGCUCAAUUGCAUUGGUACUGAUUUGAAACACAUUCACAAAUUAUUUGAUCAUCUUCUCAUUAACAGGUGGAGCUAGCACUUCCUCCUAGUGAAUAAAAUACAGUGGAAAUGACAGGUGUGACCUAGAGAAGGUUGACCAGCAAAGACAUUUGCAGUUUUUAUCUUGCUCAUUAUCUCAGGUCACUGUCUGAGAAAAGAGGCUAACUGACCUGGGACGACAACCAAGUGUCCUUGCAGAAAGAUACAUGUGGAGAGGAACAGACAGGCCCUCUCUCCCAGCCAUGUGAGUGAGCAACCUUGGAACUCACUUCUCUAGCCUCAGGGAAAGUUUCAGAUGACUGCAGCUCUGGCAAUAACCUUAUGAGAGACCUCAAGCCAGAACCACCCAGCAAGGCUACUCCCUAAUUCCUGAACCACAGAAACUGUGAUAAAUGUUUAUGGUUUUAAGCCACUAAUAUUGGGAGCAAUUUAUUAGACAGCAACUGAUAAAUAAUUCAACAUCUGUAAUAUUUUAUAUCCAGAAAAUCUAAAAAAAAACUGUGAAUAUAGUGUCAAUCAGGGUAGAUGAUAAUUACAUGUAUAACAACUUGCUUAUUCAACCCUUAAGUUGAACUUAACUGUGUGCCAUUCAUUGUUCUACAUGGCUUGCAAAAAUGAAAUAUGUGGAUAUUCAAAACCAAACUAUGUGAAAUUUACUAUAGUGAUCUCACCUUUACAGAUGAGUGAACUACCAACUAGAAAGGUUAGAAAGCUUUUCAGAGGUCACUAAUGAAUAAAUGACACACAGAAAAUUCAUACUCGAGCAGUGUUUCUACAUGGUUUGUGCUCUUAGCAAUUAACAUUAUUUUAUGAGUUAUAAUGAAAUGUGUUGCUUAUAAAUUUUUAAAUAUUUUAUAAUUUAAAUUAUAAAAAUUACAUGAUGAGAUCAUUUUUCCAUCAUCUGAUAGGCUUCUACACAUACAAAGACAUGGGUUUUAUCUUGGUUACCCUUAUAGGCAAAAGCAAAAAAAUUUAAAAAAUGAAAAUAAAUUAUUUAUAAGGGAAAAAAAGUAAAGAAAAGGAAUUCUCUAUUUAGCACCAACUCAAGAAACAAUUUCUUUCCUUCUUUAAACCUUAAAGCCAUAACUUCUGACUUCCAUGAUUCAUAAGUAGAAUAAUUUGGAAUUUGUUGUAUUGGAGAAAAAAAAAUAUUAGUGGAACAAGUGAUUGUAGAUGAGGAAAAUGAGGCUGCUUGGUUGCUGUUAUCUCUAUGGCUUGGGGAACUAACUUUUUUGUAUCUGAGAAUCAGCUAUGAAAUUGUCAUUUUUAUCUUUACCUAAAUUCAGCAUUCACAUCUGGCCUCAUAUGGACUUAUAUUAUCAUCAUCUUUUCUGAAUCAAAGAGACAAGCCUAUCCUGUUGGCAUUAGAAACUAAGGAGGUUCCAGAAUAGAAGAAAGAAGGUAGCAAUGCAAAAAUCAGUGAAAAAAAUCCCUGGAAUAACUGAUAAUGAAUUGGAAAAAGAUGAUGUUUCACUUGCCAUGAAGGUAUCUUACGGAAGAAUCAGUUGUGAGGAGCUCAGCUGGAAGAGGACUAUAUCUUAUGAUGUGGCAGGAACAAAGAAAUCAGAAGGAGAUGAAUUAAGAAUACUGUUUGGAGACAAACAUGACAGAACCAUCACUUGCAUAGAAAGUUACAUCUUCAUCAUUCUUCAGAGCUAACUUUUGCCAAAGACUAAUGGAUUUAUUUUGUAUAUUGAUUUAUACAAAAGUAAUUCUAUUCCAAAAUCUGUAACUAGCAUGUUUAUAAUCUGUUAAGUUGCUUAACUUUCCUGUUGUAUAAAACAGAAGUAUAACACCUUUCCUUUCUCUUAGAGUAGUUGUAAAGAGAAAAUGAUAUAAUUGAUAUGUAAGUUCUUUGAAAGUCUAAAAAUGAUGAUCAAAUGUUAACUGUUAUUUUCAAAAACUAUUAAUUUUAUCAU